rnacentral:lncRNA from 1 species
CAGCCCGUCACCCUCUGCAGGACCUGGUGGCAGCUUCAGCCACCAAGUCUCAGGCAGGUCUGGCUUCCUAUCCUGGUGUCACUCUCUGAGUGACUUUGAACAAAUUGCGUAACCUCUCUGGGCCUCACCUGUCUCACCCAUAAAAUGGGGACAGUCUCACCUGCCUGAAAGGCUUGCUAUCAGCAUGACCAUAUGUGGGGGGGGGUUGUGGUUUGUGGGUCCCCGCAGGGCACCUGCAGGUAGGGUCCUCUCACGCCACCAUCUCCUACCUGCUGUUGCUGUUUCUUUGUCCCUGUUUGUCUCCCCACCCAGAAGGCAGGUCCCUUGAGGAGAAAGACCUUUCCCUGGUGCCUGAAUUUUCAGUCCUCGGCUCCUCACCGAGCGUGCACUGUCUUUCGACACCCAUACGUUGGCCCCUGCUUACAGUAGGGAUGUAAGGAAUCGUUGUUGCUUGCUGAUGACAUUUGGUUACAUAAAAUAGGGUCUGCCUUACAUUUAACAAAUCCAACACGAAAAAGCAGUUUAUGCCACGGUACCAGCCCAGGUAAACCGUGGGAAGGAAGGAGGGAAUCUAACGCUGUAUUGACUGUGCGCUCUGCUCAUUUCAGAGUCACCCCACCUCUGUUUUUACAGACGAGGAAAGGGGGCCAGAGGGGGUUCCUCUGAGCCGUGCCAUAGUCCAGGGAGCACUCCAGAACCCCACUUCCUUCCCCUAUACGUGGGCCCAGAAAGGGCAGUGGGAGGCGCCUUAAGAAAAUAUUUGAGACAGGUUUUCUUUGAACAACUCCCCACUUCAGCAGGGAUGGGGUAGGUGUGAGCACGUCAGAGAGGCAGGGCCAGCGAGGCAGGUUUAGGGUUUGGGUGGGGAGCCCGGGGGGACAGGCCGCAUGGGAGCAGGAAGGGUGUGUGGAUGUGCUCUGGCCACGUGGGCCCUGGCGGUCAGGUGGGGCUGGAGCUCAGUGAGGAGGAGGAAGGGCCUUCCCGCAAGGAGAGCUGCCCAGACGGAGUCGGGGACAGAGACAGCUUGAAGGCUGGGUGACCGGGGU